rnacentral:tRNA from 1 species
AAAGUUUUAGUAUAAGUUAGUAUAGUUUAUUGUCAAUAAAUUGGUUAAAAACUUUAA